ACUCCUACGGGAGGCAGCAGUGGGGAAUUUUGGACAAUGGGCGAAAGCCUGAUCCAGCAAUGCCGCGUGAGUGAAGAAGGCCUUCGGGUUGUAAAGCUCUUUUGUCAGGGAAGAAACGGUGAAAGCUAAUAUCUUUUGCUAAUGACGGUACCUGAAGAAUAAGCACCGGCUAACUACGUGCCAGCAGCCGCGGUAAUACGUAGGGUGCAAGCGUUAAUCGGAAUUACUGGGCGUAAAGCGUGCGCAGGCGGUUUUGUAAGUCUGAUGUGAAAUCCCCGGGCUCAACCUGGGAAUUGCAUUGGAGACUGCAAGGCUAGAAUCUGGCAGAGGGGGGUAGAAUUCCACGUGUAGCAGUGAAAUGCGUAGAUAUGUGGAGGAACACCGAUGGCGAAGGCAGCCCCCUGGGUCAAGAUUGACGCUCAUGCACGAAAGCGUGGGGAGCAAACAGGAUUAGAUACCCGUGUAGUCCC
rnacentral:rRNA from 1 species